rnacentral:rRNA from 1 species
UACGAAGGGGGCUAGCGUUGCUCGGAAUCACUGGGCGUAAAGCGCACGUAGGCGGCUCUUUAAGUCAGGGGUGAAAUCCUGGAGCUCAACUCCAGAACUGCCCUUGAUACUGAGGAGCUUGAGUCCGGGAGAGGUGAGUGGAACUGCGAGUGUAGAGGUGAAAUUCGUAGAUAUUCGCAAGAACACCGGUGGCGAAGGCGGCAUCCUGGACCAACACUGACGCUGAGGAGCGAAAGCCAGGGGAGCAAACGGG